GACGAACGCUGGCGGCGUGCUUAACACAUGCAAGUCGAGCGGUAAGGCCCUUUCGGGGGUACACGAGCGGCGAACGGGUGAGUAACACGUGGGUGACCUGCCCUCAGCUCUGGGAUAAGCCUGGGAAACCGGGUCUAAUACUGGAUAUGACUCCAUGACGCAUGUUGUGGGGUGGAAAGCCUUGUGCGGCUGAGGAUGGGGCCCNCGGCCUAUCAGCUUGUUGGUGGGGUGANGGCCUACCAAGGCGACGACGGGUAGCCGGCCUGAGAGGGCGACCGG
rnacentral:rRNA from 1 species